rnacentral:misc_RNA from 1 species
UAUAUAACCACCAGUUGAGC